rnacentral:misc_RNA from 1 species
UAGUGUUAAUGCUAUAAGAGUGUAGUAUCAACUCACAAAGUUAUCAGGUUAAAUAGCUUUAUCAACUAAUAAAUUUGCUGAGUAUCGUAGUAAAAGUUAAGAUAUGAUGUUAAGA